rnacentral:lncRNA from 1 species
GGACCCUGCUAAAUGCAUUGAAGGAAGAAUCUUCAAGAUUAAAGUACUUACAGAUAUAGGAUUUUUUACAGAGGCCUUUCAUGAACUGUGUUUACUUAAUUGUGGAGAAAGAAUCCCAUGGAAAAUACCAGCAGGGUAUAAAAAAAAUGAAGAAAUGAAGACCUUACUGUACUUUGACUCCUCAAAAUCUCUCCUGAGUUUUACAAAUUUACAGGUACUGGAGGACAUAUUUAACUGGAGUCUGUCUUUAACAGUAGUGCCACUGUGUGACCAACAAAUUAUGAAUAAAUUAAUCUUAGCCAAAAUGCAUUUCAUCAUUUGCCUUUCUGCCACAAUAAAUAAUAUACCUGAAAAAGUAGAAAAAUGCAAAUACUCUGUUGAUCACAAGCCAGAUGGAGUUACACCAUCAAAUGUAAAAGUGGAUGCUGUUAAGAAUUCAAGACAACGGGAACAAAGAGACACAGUGAUGCAGCUCAUUGACUGUAAAGCUGAAUUAAAUAUGACCAUGCUGAAGGUAAUUUUUUUUUUCAAGGAAAAGGGCUUAAUAAACUUCAGAUUGUUCUGAAAACAUUACUAAUGUUU